GGUCCGCCCUGUACUGCUUGCCCUCCGGGUACUUAUUGCAGUUUGGAGUACAUGGGACUCUGUUCCUGUAGUUCUCGUGAACUGUACUUCAUACAUCUUGGGAUUAUAUUGCAAGCUUUUGUCGUGGUAACACACCGGAUUAUGAUGUAAAUACUCAUGAUGAGGUAAUAACGAAAAUAAGCAAAUACUUGACAUUUAAUUAUGAAUGUGCAGAUGUGAAGACUUUGUAUUUUAUAGACAAACGCCAUUCACAUGAUAUGAAGGAAACUCCUUCUUGCAGUCCUCUAUGAACAUAUAAGCACAAGAAAUCACAACAUGUCCAUGGCAUAUGAUAUCAAAACAGUAAAUUUAGUUAUUACCUGACAACAACCUUCUAAAUUAUAGUAAAAAGGGAAAUAGUGAACAUAUGUGGUUGAUAUAUUUAAUAUGCAAUGACGAUGUGUUACAGUUUUCCUUUUGCAGCUCUUUUAUAUUUCAAGCUUGAACAUGAGUCAUUGAUAGUGCACAACAAAUUUUAUCUUUAUGAUAUGAGAUCAAGUUUUGUAAUGUCUGUGGAUUUAUCUUGUAACUUGCGGCAACAAUAAAAUGUGGAAAAAAUAGA